CAGAGCUGUCUCUUUGUUUCAAGGACCUCGCCUUGAGGGAGUAAUGUGUUGUUGAGACUAUCUACAUGGUAUUGGAGACUGAACCCAGGAUGUGGAAGUGGUGAUGAUGAGCAAACCUUGACCGUGCAGAUGAAGACAACAUCCUGGAUUCAACCCAGUGCCUGCCACAUAAUUGGAGCUCAAUGAAUAUUUGUUGGAUGAAA